AGUGUAAUUGCUGGGUCAUAUGAUAGUUACAUGUUGUGUUUUUUAAGAAAUUGCCAAAUUGUUUUCCAGAGUGGCUGUACCAUUUUACAUUCCCAUUAGCAAU
rnacentral:pre_miRNA from 3 species